GGCCUAACACAUGCAAGUCGAGCGCCUGUAGCAAUACAGGAGCGGCAGACGGGAGAGUAACACGUGGGAACGUACCUUUCAGUUCGGAACAACCAAGGGAAACUUUGGCUAAUACCGAAUACGCCCUUACGGGGAAAGAUUUAUCGCUGAAAGAUCGGCCCGCGUCUGAUUAGCUUGUUGGUGAGGUAAUGGCUCACCAAGGCGACGAUCAGUAGCUGGUCUGAGAGGAUGAUCAGCCUCACUGGGACUGAGACACGGCCCAGACUCCUACGGGAGGCAGCAGUGGGGAAUAUUGGACAAUGGGCGCAAGCCUGAUCCAGCCAUGCCGCGUGGAUGAUGAAGGCCCUAGGGUUGUAAACCCCUGUUGCCCGGGACGAACUUCUGGUUUCGACCAGAUUGACGGUACCGGGUGAGGAAGCACCGGCUAACUCUGUGCCAGCAGCCGCGGUA
rnacentral:rRNA from 1 species